UGCAGGGCCAGGUUGAAGAAGAGUGCAAGCAAGUCGGAUUUGAGAAGCUUUCUAUUUUUCGACCAGGGGUACUGCUGGUAGACAGGGAGGAGCGACGAGCAGGAGAGGGUGUGUUUCGUUUCAUGUUAAAGCCAGUCGCAUGGAUGUUUCCAACACUCAUCACCACCCCUAUAGAGAUGGUUGCCGUGGCGAUGAUAAACAAUGUGCAGUCACCAAGCAACCAGAGUGAGGAGUUGCUAUGCAACAAGGAAAUUCACAAUCUUGCCACAGUCAAAUAAGAUGAAGGGAAUGUUCCUUGACCUUACGGUCAAUAACAGGAAUGAGUAACUCCAGAUAGUUAUUACUAGUUAAAGGGGGUAAAUGUAUAGAAGAUUGCAUGAGCUGGAACCACGAAUAUAGUAGUAGUAGUAUAAACUCGAAUAUUGGCCUCUAACAUUUUAGCAUCUAGAACAAAGAUAACGAAUUCUCAUAGAACAAAAAUUUGUUCAAUAAUGGCUCAUCCGUCAGGCAGUUGGGUCAAAUCGUGGGUAUUAAAUUGACUACAUCACGUAUCCAGAGAUAUCAAGUUUGAGAAAUGGUUGAGAGUGAGACUCAGUGUUUGACGGGGUGACACUGACCGAGGGAGCGAAGCGACCAAGGGGGGGAAGGUUGUGGGGGAGGGGGGUUUUCCCCCUCCCACGGUAUAAAGCUUUUUUUUUAAAUUUGAGGUUUGAAAUGGUGCAAUUUGGUGCAUACCUAUGGUAUGAUUUAUUGCCUUUAUAAAUAUAAGUUCUUACUCAUUUAGAUCUAAACCUAGAUAAACGUUAGAACUAGUACUAGAAACUAGUCUAGUAAAAGUGCAAGCUGAGAAUUGAAAAGUAAACAAAAUACCUCAGUAACCUGCAAAGCCAUCAUCCACUGAUGCAGGCGGGAUAUUGGAUUCCAAGCAGGCAAAUAAAAUGAGCGUAUUAGCGUAUUAUACGUAUACGGCCGGAGCGAGCUAGCUAGCUUGCCGGCCGCGGAGCGGCGCUGUUGAUCGGGCCUUAGCCUUCUGAUACUAGUAUACUGGUAUCUGGGACUGAAAAUAGAGGGUUUUAAUGAUUUAUUUAUUGAUUUUGAUUUUUGCGUGAGAAAUUCAGAGAUGAGCGUGACAGCGUGAGAACUGACCAAAAUGCGUAAGUCUCACGCUCAAUGCGUGAGACUUGCCGUGUCUGCGUAUCUCUAGCACCAGCAAAUAAUAUAUUUGUGUGUUAUUUGUACAAAAUAAACCUUGUAUUCCCAAAGUCCGGAAGGCUCAAAUAUGUGUUUUCUUUGACUUAUUCAGGAAUGUCUUAGCCGUCUUUACAGCAUUCCGAGCUUCUUCUCGUUAGCGUGAGGGUGUAGUGAGGGGAUGUUGUAGUGUGCUUCAAUUCGCACUUGAAGGCAACCCUCUGGAACUCAUAUGAGAUAAAUUGGGGGUCACUAUGAGUUACCAACUCAUCCGGAAUGCCAUAUCUUGCAAAAAGAUCAUUUAGCUUGUGGAUCGCAAAUAUUGAAGUAGUCUGGCUCAGAUUGUCUAUCUCAAGCAAAUUUGUUAGAAAUAGCCAAGGUUACAUGGUAGCAGGUGCGUCACCUACGGAGAAUAGCGCCUAUGGCGAGCACUGAAAUUGCGCCCCUGUCCAAACAUCUGACACCCAUCUUUUAGAUAGCUUUACUAUAAUAUACAGGGACGUAGCCAGCUAAACAGUGUGUGUCUGUUGGGGGGGGGGGGUUCUUGGCGCUAGAGCUGUGGACUUUCAUAGGAUGUGGCAGCAACAUAGGAUGUGGCAGCAAAGCCGCCCGCGCUAACGCGGCUAAACACGAAGCACCUAAGGGGGUGUCUGGGGGUCCUCCCCUAGACAUUUUUUUAAAAUGUAAUGGCUCCAGGUGCGAUUUCCCAGCACUUUGAAAUAGUAUUUUUGGACAUGAACUAAUGGUUUUUGAGUAACUUUUCGCCACAUAACUGACUUAUGGACUCGAUUUGUCGAGAAAAAUUUGUUUAAAUCCUCAAAUCUCAAUUUAGCUGUCAUUGAUUUGUAAAAUGAUUUAAACUAAUUUAGUGACGGUCACAUUGACCCGGUUUAAACGGUUAAUUUUAGGGAAAUAAAUAAAAACAUUACACAGUGCUUAAUUAAUUAUCUCUCACUUUAUUCUCACAAUACUGCAGGAAUCAUACAUAGACGUGUACUGAAUAUUUAUCCUGUAAUUAAUGAGUCUUACAUUUCUGGGAACUAGUUUUUAUUGUGGUUAGAAGCGUAGACAAAUACAGAUGUUCCAGAACUUUUUUUCUUUUGUACUAAUCUUACAGUGUGAAAACUCUGACACUCAUAUUGUGCGGAGUCUCGUAAUCGGACCAUUUCGAGAUUGAAUGUUACAUUGUAACAGCGUGCCCGACACAGGCCUCGUGUUGUUUGUUCGUAACUGUCUGCGAUCUGUUGACCUUUGCUUUAAUUAUGCAGAAUUUGUCAUCCGAACUGGACUUGUGUACGUGCAUGUUUGUGUGACUGUCCACUCACUAAAAUAAUAAUAUGGCUACUGCACUGUGAAUGAAUGUGUGUUGCACAAUGCUGCGAAGCAAUCGAUAAUGAGGAUCGACGAAACUUUUCAUUGUUGCUAAUUUUGUUAAUUUGUCUUGACCACAACUGCCUUGUCGGACUUUAAUAGAAACUGCUCAGUGGCGCCCCCUUCAAGUGGUGCCCAGGGCACGUGCCAUACCUGCCAUACCUUAGUUACGCCACUGCAUGGUAGCCCUCAGAAGCUAGCAUUAAGAGAUCUCUGUUAUAUUUGCCCACGGCUUGGUUCGUGCAUCAUGGGAAUGCCUGCAUGAGUACGUUUUGCUGUAAGUGCCCAUUGACUGGCACACAUGCUGCAUUGCAUCACAUUUCUUGACGUAAUAUUUCACCUCUACAUUAAUUCCUGGCCAGAAUAAGUUUCACGCUCUCUCCUCAGACGGCUACUUUCACCCAGGUGUGAUGAGUGAUUGCGAUCAAGCAUGUCCCUUCUCAUAGCCUUGGGUAUCCCAACUCUCUCACCAAUAGAAAUGAGCUCAUAAGCAGUGCUGACCGCAUUUCUGUAGUGAAAGUAUAUUGUAACACACUGAGAUAGUUGUUACGGUUUCUCUUGCAAUCCUUAAAGAUUCUCGUCCUCGUGGUAUGCAUUGGUUAAACUUUUCUUUCGGCGGUUCUUCACUGGGUAGAUGACUGAGCAAGCUCAUUUGUUCUGUCUUCGGUUCUUUCUUGUCUCUCCCCGUACCUGGAAAAUACGCACGACUCAAUAUGUUUGCAGUGUACAUUUUACUUCCUGGACGAUAUAAUCCGUACAGACUGCAAAUUUGAUACCACAUCAAACUCGUCUGUGCCUGGCGCGCGUCAAAUUUUUGCAGUGUGUACACGCUCCCUGCUCCAAAUACGCGCUGGCCCGCACCAAUUUGGCCCAGCAAAUGAAGGAGGGUCAAGCCCGGGAGAACUUUGCCCGUACCAAGUUAGCCCGCUUGUGUGUGUGUGUGUGUGUGUGCGUGCGUGUGUGUGUGUGUGUGUGCGUGCGUGCGUGCGCGUGUGCGUGUGUGUACGCAAUGUGGGGCCAGGCGCGGGUCAGAUUUCGCAAUAUGCCUGCGCAGCGCACAUAAAAGUAAAGUAGCUGUCUGCGGGGUGACGUAACGAGCUGAAAUGAGCAUGCACAGUCAAUCCGUGCCAAUCUGUGGUACGCUUCAGACUUUUGUGUCUGUACGCUACGAUUUGACGCGUGCUAUGCGCGCGCCAGGCCUGGACUAGUUUAAUGUGGGAUAAAAAUUUUGCAGUCUGUACGGGGUAAUAGACUAUGUGCGCAUCAUUUGUUUACAGUCGAAUAAUCGGCGGCUUGUCAUAACACUGGACUUGGAAGUUCCUUAUGUGUAUUGUUGGAAUAUUUACAAACAACAUUUGGCAGCAAGUAUAGCUCAUCGGUUUGAGCAGACAUUAUCUCAGUAUCUGUCGGAACUCUGAUUGCAUAUGCGUUUGGCUGACCUUACUGCAUAAUCGUCAAAGUCAAACUUUCUUGUCGUCAAAGUAGGCCUACCGUAGCAUCGGCUUUCCUGUCACCAUCUCUUCGAUGCGUUUUACUGCUUGUUCGUAGACAACUCGUGAGUUGAUAGAGAGGUUCACAUAUUCUAUAUCUGCUUCCUUUUCCAUGUGUUCUUUGCAAUGAAUAUAUUCAUGUGCAGAAAUAUGUUAUAUAACUUGAAUUAGCGUAAGAGUGCAUGAUCCUGCUUAGUGGGAAGUCGAGUGGAUAGAUUCACUGUUUUACAACAAUUGUUGCUACAAUGUAAAAAACACAUUUUGAGUUUUAUUUUGAUUCGCGAACGUUAAACAGUUCACCAAAUAUAAUUGAAAUAAUGCCUUGUGCAAUGUUUUCUUAUAAAUGUUUUCGAACUGUAAAACAGUACGGUAUUUCCUGUGUGUGAGGCACAUAUAGUAUGUCUCUAUUUACAUAUAUAUAUAAUAUCGAUGAAUUAUUCACUUGCAUAUUAGAAUGCUAUAAGUUGAGUAAUUACUUAGUUGGAGUAAUUAUGUUAGGAAGAUGUAGUGAGCGUGGUUGCCAAGACUUACCGCAUACUGGUUUAGCAACGUGCAUUUAGAUUGGGCAGCUGUGUGGAUUCAUACUAAUAAGGGAAGCCGGCAGUCUAACAAGCACAAGUCUAGUAUAUGUCAUUAUAUGUUAUUGUAUAUGAUUACUCUUGUAUGAUUAUUGUCUUAUUCUGUACUUGUUUUGAUUAAUAAUUAUUUAUUUCAUCUUCGAAGAUGUAAUUUAUUAGUAUACUGAUGAAGACAUAAACCUUGAGAUUUUUAAAUGUGCUAUGUCCCUGAACAUCAUACAGGGCAUAUAUAUAUAUAUAUAUAUAUAUAUAUAUAUAUAUAGGCAUACACACAUGUUUCUCGCUUCCCCAUAUUUAUCCAUUUCUUUCGGAUAGAGAGAAGAGUUGUCAGAGGGAUUAUUGAGGUCACAGUGUAAUAGUAGUAUAUGCUAUGUUUGUAACACCUAGGAUGUGACGUUGCUUAUCAUCGUUACAGUAGCGUGAUAGAUGUGCUGAAAGUCUGCACGUACAUCUAGUCGGUUUAUUUGCGUUUGAUGUAGAUAGACGGAAAGUAGAUAGCGGAAUGAGUAUUAUAGAGGAAAUGAAGGGCACGGAAAACGUGUCGUAGAUGUAUCGGUUAUAAGAGUCCUGGAGAUGUCAAUUCACAUUAGUAACUUUACAUAUACGGUAUAUUUCACAGGUUAUUUUUGUUUAUAUGCAUUACUUAUUGAUAUAUAACGUUGUUUGCCAGUAUGCAUUCGUAUGUAGUUUCAUUAGAUAAUUAAGAGUAAACAUGUAAACAGGAAGUGAUACAGAACUUGACAAUUUCGAUUGUAUUUGAAAGACGAGUUUGUUUUCGUGGAUAAAUUCCAUACAAUUGAGAGACAAAAAUGUAAAGUUGGAUGCGUUGUCAUCACAUCAGGAGUCUAUAAAUAUUGAUAGACUCCUGGUCGUAUUAUAUACUGGAAAGCAGCGGGAAAGCCGAAAUCACCCGAAUGAAAUAAAAUUACGGCGAAAUAGUGA